rnacentral:rRNA from 1 species
CGUGUAGGCGGAUUGAUAAGUUUGAAGUGAAAUCCUAUAUCUUAACUAUAGAACUGCUUUGAAAACUGUUAAUCUAGAAUGUGGGAGAGGUAGAUGGAAUUUCUGGUGUAGGGGUAAAAUCCGUAGAGAUCAGAAGGAAUACCGAUUGCGAAGGCGAUCUACUGGAACAAUAUUGACGCUGAGACGCGAAAGCGUGGGGAGCAAACA